GACAGAGGUGCCGAGCGUUAGGCGGGAUCACUGGGCUUAAAGCGUGUGUAGGCGGAUGCCUAAGUACCUUGUGAAAUCCCACGGCUUAACCGUGGAACUGCUUGGUAUACUGGGUGUCUUGAGCCACUUAGGGGCGACCGGAACAAACGGUGGAGCGGUGAAAUGCGUAGAUAUCGUUUGGAACGCCAAUGGUGAAAACAGGUCGCUGGGAGUGUGCUGACGCUGAGACACGAAAGCCAGGGGAGCGAACGGG
rnacentral:rRNA from 1 species